AUCUUUGCGCAGCAGCAGUAUCGUAGCCUGUGAGGUUGAUCCGAGGCGCGAUUAUUGCUAGUUGGAAACUUUACCCAAUACUCCGCCUUGAUGACUGCAAACACAGUCAGCAACGGCAAUUAUGGACAGUCUUAACAAAGA